GAUUCUAAAUACCAACGGAUCAAAAAAAGAGAAGCAAUACAGAGUAACACCAUAAGAGCCGGAUAAGACUGAUUUCAAGAUGACGAUCUUUUUCCCAUCAACACAAUGGUUUGAGGUUGGAUCUUCCAUCCAACCAUCCAUUCAUCCAUAUUGGAUUGUAUUGGGAAGUGUGCAAGACAUAUCCCGUAUUGGUGGUUCUUCGUAUUUGUGGUAAUCAGACAAAAGAAUGAAUCAACCGUUUCAAGAACCAUUCACUCACUCACCUUCGAUCGGGCUUGGCACUCAUUCUGAUCUCUGAAAGGACAAGACCACUGUUCAGCCAUCACUCAAAUAUGAAAGUCUACUGGCCCCGAACAAUACCGGGUAGGUGUCAAUUGUCACGGUUGACACUCAGUUAGCGUCAUCAGUGAAAGGAUUUGUGAAGCAAAGGAAACCUCCCUGACUUACCUAUUGGUGAGGAAAUAACAAGCCUCGUCAUGUUUGCACUCGGAAUCGCGACAACACGAUCGGUACAAGGAGCCCAUGGUGGAUUUGAUUCGUCGGAGAUCGGGAUUGGUUUGAGAACAAACCUUCUCGCCCAAGCCCUGUUGAAAAUCCUGACUCCCACUUGACAGAAGUGCGCACUAAAAACAACGAUUUACUUGAACAACAAAACCAGGACCCGAAGGAAGGAGAAAGAAGCGAUUGCUCUCAGUCUCUCGUAGAACUCUCUUAUCCGUAUUUUAGCAAUUCUAUCCCAAGGGGUUUUAGCAUUGUAUAGUUACGUGAAAUCCGUAAGGGCAUUGCUGAUCGCUCUCGCAAACCACAACCACACAUUCGUCGCCAAUACAAACGGUGUCUGUGAAAUGCAGUUAUUCUCAAUCUA